rnacentral:ncRNA from 2 species
GGGCCUGUAGCUCAGAGGAUUAGAGCACGU